rnacentral:rRNA from 1 species
GAUGGUCAAUAAUAUUAAAUCAUACAACUUUCAGCAACGGAUCUCUUGGCUCUCGCAUCGAUGAAGAACGCAGCGAAUUGCGAUAAGUAAUGUGAAUUGCAGAUUUUCAGUGAAUCAUCGAAUCUUUGAACGCACCUUGCGCUCCUUGGUAUUC